GUCCAGACUCCUACGGGAGGCAGCAGUGGGGAAUAUUGCACAAUGGGGGAAACCCUGAUGCAGCGACGCCGCGUGAGUGAAGAAGUAUUUCGGUAUGUAAAGCUCUAUCAGCAGGGAAGAAAAUGACGGUACCUGACUAAGAAGCCCCGGCUAACUACGUGCCAGCAGCCGCGGUAAUACGUAGGGGGCAAGCGUUAUCCGGAUUUACUGGGUGUAAAGGGAGCGUAGACGGCAUGGCAAGUCAGAUGUGAAAGCCCGGGGCUCAACCCCGGGACUGCAUUUGAAGCUGUCAGGCUGGAGUGCAGGAGAGGUAAGUGGAAUUCCUAGUGUAGCGGUGAAAUGCGUAGAUAUUAGGAGGAACACCAGUGGCGAAGGCGGCUUACUGGACUGUAACUGACGUUGAGGCUCGAAAGCGUGGGGAGCAAACAGGAUUAGAUACCCGAGUACG
rnacentral:rRNA from 1 species